rnacentral:lncRNA from 10 species
GCAGAAACUACGCAGCGCCGGUGUGUGUUGGGUCGGUGAUAAUGCUUUGAUGCUCUCUGCGCCCUGGAGGAGCGUGAAGCCGGAGGUUGCUAAGUGGAAGUGCAGGUGCUGCUGCUUCUUGCACAAACUGCAGUUGUAAUCCAGGAUUCACGGGCCUGUAGGGGCUCAGACUUCAAAUUGAACCGCGCCUCGGCGGCAGCCACAGGUGUAAUACACGAGGCCCAGGUACCAGAAGGUGUCCAGCAGGGCCUUGGCGGCGCCCUAGCAGCUGAGGUCCAGCCGCUGCGCGCCCAGGUUCAUCUCAUUAGUGGACGCCGCGGGCCCGCGAGUUCGGAGCAGCGCGUGUAUCUGUGGGUCUUUGGGGCUGGCCUCGCUAGCCUACCAGCUUCCUUUCGGUGAUGCUCUUUGCUACCGCCAGGCUCCUGACCCCAGCUUGGACAGCAGGCCGCCGAGCGCCCCUGACGCCCGUUACCGAGAUGGCUGCGCAGAAGGGUAACCCAGAAUGACAUCUAUGCCUUUCAUCUGUAAAAUAACAACAACAGUGGGCUCUGGGAACACAGACUAAGACUCCUUAACCACAGCCAUAGGAGUGGCUGUGGGGCUGUGAUCUCUCCUAGAACCUCAGAGGCAUGAAGCUAGAAUAUCUUCCCCUUCAAGGAGAAUAAGCCAAGAACACAAGAAGAUCAGAGGCUGUAAGGAGCUGCUAUAAGGCCUUCUCCCAGUCACUUCCCUCUCUCUCCUGAGAGGCUGUCUUGAAUGAAUUUCUCAUCACUUACCAGAUUCUGAUGAGGGUAUAUGAGACAAGGACCUGGGGAGUUGGCCUCUUUGGUUCAUUCUUUGUACUGUUUAUAAGGCCUCCCUGACAACAAGGG